AGCCCAGAGCCUGAAUCAGUGUGUGUGUUAGUGGAAGCGUCUGGAAAGGCGCGCGAUACAGGGUGACAGCCCCGUACACAAAAAUGCACAUACUGUGAGCUCGAUGAGUAGGGCGGGACACGUGGUAUCCUGUCUGAAUAUGGGGGGACCAUCCUCCAAGGCUAAAUACUCCUGACUGACCGAUAGUGAACCAGUACCGUGAGGGAAAGGCGAAAAGAACCCCGGCGAGGGGAGUGAAAAAGAACCUGAAACCGUGUACGUACAAGCAGUGGGAGCCUCUUUAUGGGGUGACUGCGUACCUUUUGUAUAAUGGGUCAGCGACUUAUAUUCUGUAGCAAGGUUAACCGAAUAGGGGAGCCGAAGGGAAACCGAGUCUUAACUGGGCGUUAAGUUGCAGGGUAUAGACCCGAAACCCGGUGAUCUAGCCAUGGGCAGGUUGAAGGUUGGGUAACACUAACUGGAGGACCGAACCGACUAAUGUUGAAAAAUUAGCGGAUGACUUGUGGCUGGGGGUGAAAGGCCAAUCAAACCGGGAGAUAGCUGGUUCUCCCCGAAAGCUAUUUAGGUAGCGCCUCGUGAAUUCAUCUCCGGGGGUAGAGCACUGUUUCGGCAAGGGGGUCAUCCCGACUUACCAACCCGAUGCAAACUGCGAAUACCGGAGAAUGUUAUCACGGGAGACACACGGCGGGUGCUAACGUCCGUCGUGAAGAGGGAAACAACCCAGACCGCCAGCUAAGGUCCCAAAGUCAUGGUUAAGUGGGAAACGAUGUGGGAAGGCCCAGACAGCCAGGAUGUUGGCUUAGAAGCAGCCAUCAUUUAAAGAAAGCGUAAUAGCUCACUGGUCGAGUCGGCCUGCGCGGAAGAUGUAACGGGGCUAAACCAUGCACCGAAGCUGCGGCAGCGACACUAUGUGUUGUUGGGUAGGGGAGCGUUCUGUAAGCCUGCGAAGGUGUACUGUGAGGUAUGCUGGAGGUAUCAGAAGUGCGAAUGCUGACAUAAGUAACGAUAAAGCGGGUGAAAAGCCCGCUCGCCGGAAGACCAAGGGUUCCUGUCCAACGUUAAUCGGGGCAGGGUGAGUCGACCCCUAAGGCGAGGCCGAAAGGCGUAGUCGAUGGGAAACAGGUUAAUAUUCCUGUACUUGGUGUUACUGCGAAGGGGGGACGGAGAAGGCUAUGUUGGCCGGGCGACGGUUGUCCCGGUUUAAGCGUGUAGGCUGGUUUUCCAGGCAAAUCCGGAAAAUCAAGGCUGAGGCGUGAUGACGAGGCACUACGGUGCUGAAGCAACAAAUGCCCUGCUUCCAGGAAAAGCCUCUAAGCAUCAGGUAACAUUAAAUCGUACCCCAAACCGACACAGGUGGUCAGGUAGAGAAUACCAAGGCGCUUGAGAGAACUCGGGUGAAGGAACUAGGCAAAAUGGUGCCGUAACUUCGGGAGAAGGCACGCUGAUAUGUAGGUGAAGCGACUUGCUCGUGGAGCUGAAAUCAGUCGAAGAUACCAGCUGGCUGCAACUGUUUAUUAAAAACACAGCACUGUGCAAACACGAAAGUGGACGUAUACGGUGUGACGCCUGCCCGGUGCCGGAAGGUUAAUUGAUGGGGUUAGCGGUAACGCGAAGCUCUUGAUCGAAGCCCCGGUAAACGGCGGCCGUAACUAUAACGGUCCUAAGGUAGCGAAAUUCCUUGUCGGGUAAGUUCCGACCUGCACGAAUGGCGUAAUGAUGGCCAGGCUGUCUCCACCCGAGACUCAGUGAAAUUGAACUCGCUGUGAAGAUGCAGUGUACCCGCGGCAAGACGGAAAGACCCCGUGAACCUUUACUAUAGCUUGACACUGAACAUUGAGCCUUGAUGUGUAGGAUAGGUGGGAGGCUUUGAAGUGUGGACGCCAGUCUGCAUGGAGCCGGCCUUGAAAUACCACCCUUUAAUGUUUGAUGUUCUAACGUUGGCCCCUGACCGGGGUUGCGGACAGUGUCUGGUGGGUAGUUUGACUGGGGCGGUCUCCUCCUAAAGAGUAACGGAGGAGCACGAAGGUUGGCUAAUCCUGGUCGGACAUCAGGAGGUUAGUGCAAUGGCAUAAGCCAGCUUGACUGCGAGCGUGACGGCGCGAGCAGGUGCGAAAGCAGGUCAUAGUGAUCCGGUGGUUCUGAAUGGAAGGGCCAUCGCUCAACGGAUAAAAGGUACUCCGGGGAUAACAGGCUGAUACCGCCCAAGAGUUCAUAUCGACGGCGGUGUUUGGCACCUCGAUGUCGGCUCAUCACAUCCUGGGGCUGAAGUAGGUCCCAAGGGUAUGGCUGUUCGCCAUUUAAAGUGGUACGCGAGCUGGGUUUAGAACGUCGUGAGACAGUUCGGUCCCUAUCUGCCGUGGGCGCUGGAGAACUGAGGGGGGCUGCUCCUAGUACGAGAGGACCGGAGUGGACGCAUCACUGGUGUUCGGGUUGUCAUGCCAAUGGCACUGCCCGGUAGCUAAAUGCGGAAGAGAUAAGUGCUGAAAGCAUCUAAGCACGAAACUUGCCCCGAGAUGAGUUCUCCCUGACUCCUUGAGAGUCCUGAAGGAACGUUGAAGACGACGACGUUGAUAGGCCGGGUGUGUAAGCGCAGCGAUGCGUUGAGCUAACCGGUACUAAUGAACCGUGAGGCUUAACCUU
rnacentral:rRNA from 1 species